AGUUAGUGGCGGACGGGUGAGUAACACGUGGGAACGUGCCUUUAGGUUCGGAAUAACUCAGGGAAACUUGUGCUAAUACCGAAUGUGCCCUUCGGGGGAAAGAUUUAUCGCCUUUAGAGCGGCCCGCGUCUGAUUAGCUAGUUGGUGAGGUAAAGGCUCACCAAGGCGACGAUCAGUAGCUGGUCUGAGAGGAUGAUCAGCCACAUUGGGACUGAGACACGGCCCAAACUCCUACGGGAGGCAGCAGUGGGGAAUCUUGCGCAAUGGGCGAAAGCCUGACGCAGCCAUGCCGCGUGAAUGAUGAAGGUCUUAGGAUUGUAAAAUUCUUUCAGUAGGGACGAUAAUGACGGUACCUACAGAAGAAGCCCCGGCUAACUUCGUGCCAGCAGCCGCGGUAAUACGAAGGGGGCUAGCGUUGCUCGGAAUUACUGGGCGUAAAGGGAGCGUAGGCGGACAUUUAAGUCAGGGGUGAAAUCCCGGGGCUCAACCUCGGAAUUGCCUUUGAUACUGGGUGUCUUGAGUGUGAGAGAGGUAUGUGGAACUCCGAGUGUAGAGGUGAAAUUCGUAGAUAUUCGGAAGAACACCAGUGGCGAAGGCGACAUACUGGCUCAUUACUGACGCUGAGGCUCGAAAGCGUGGGGAGCAAACAGGAUUAGAUACCCUGGUAGUCCACGCCGUAAACGAUGAUUGCUAGUUGUCGGGAUGCAUGCAUUUCGGUGACGCAGCUAACGCAUUAAGCA
rnacentral:rRNA from 1 species